rnacentral:rRNA from 1 species
UACGUAGGGGGCAAGCGUUGUCCGGAUUUAUUGGGCGUAAAGAGCGUGUAGGCGGCCUGACAGGUCUGCUGUGAAAACUCGAGGCUCAACCUCGAGAUGUCGGCGGAAACCAUCUGACUAGAGUCCGGAAGAGGAGAGUGGAAUUCCUGGUGUAGCGGUGAAAUGCGCAGAUAUCAGGAAGAACACCCGUGGCUAAGGCGGCUCUCUAGUACGUGACUGACGCUGAGACGCGAAAGCGUGGGGAGCGAACAGG